UAGGGAAUCUUCGGCAAUGGGGGCAACCCUGACCGAGCAACGCCGCGUGAGUGAAGAAGGUUUUCGGAUCGUAAAGCUCUGUUGUAAGAGAAGAACGUGUGUGAGAGUGGAAAGUUCACACAGUGACGGUAACUUACCAGAAAGGGACGGCUAACUACGUGCCAGCCGCCGCGGUAAUACGUAGGUCCCGAGCGUUGUCCGGAUUUAUUGGGCGUAAAGCGAGCGCAGGCGGUUUAAUAAGUCUGAAGGUAAAGGCAGUGGCUUAACCAUUGUUCGCUUUGGAAACUGUUAAACUUGAGUGCAGAAGGGGAGAGUGGAAUUCCAUGUGUAGCGGUGAAAUGCGUAGAUAUAUGGAGGAACACCGGUGGCGAAAGCGGCUCUCUGGUCUGUAACUGACGCUGAGGCUCGAAAGCGUGGGGAGCAAACAGG
rnacentral:rRNA from 1 species